AGGAUGUUUUCUUUUACAGCUUAGACCACUUUUUGAAGCUCAGCUGGGACUGCUUCCCAGUGAUGUGUUACAAAAUUGAUGCACCCCCUGUAUGGGGCCCACACAGAAUCCCACUCAGGGCUUUCUUGCCUGACCCCAAGGGCUACACUUAAAUUCUCAACAUCCCUGAAACCCAGAGUACAUGCCUUGCUUCUCUGAAUUCACAUUCACUUACCAGGACACUGAGCCAGCAAAUCAGAUGCACACAGCUCGCCUGUCUGUGCUGCCUUCAAGCUCUGCCUUCCUGCAACAUGUGCUCUUCUCUCCAAGGUCAGAGCAGCAUGACACAGAAGAAAGAGUAAUCGCCUGGGAGAUUUGUCUGGAAGUAGAGAAGUAGAAGACACCAGAGUGGCUCCCAUCCUGACUCAGGGAUAAUGGGACUGAGAUGGUACUGACUCUUCUACUGCCACCACUGCAGUUACAUCUGCUGGACUAGAGGUAUCUGCUCAUUUUAUCUGGACGCCGUAUUGUUAAUAGUCUCCUCUGCCCAGGCAGCUGUGCCUGUGACAGCAGAACAACAUGUUCCCUCCAGUACAGCCUGUGGAGUUAUUUCAUGUCCGACAAGAGAUAAAAUGAUCUCAACUGCAGCCCAAUGAAACCAAUGGAUAAUUACUUGCAUUUGCUGAUGGGUUUUCACUAUGUCUGAGGGAAUACUUUGCAAAUGAAGCUUGUACCAUUCUGGACAAAGCUGGGACAAUGUAUGGUUCUGGGAUGCCAAAAGAAUGUUUUAUCCUUCAUUGGAAAUAGACACUGUAUUUAUAAAGGAGAACUAACAGGUUGAUAAGGAUUUUGCUUAGAAAGUGAUGAAGUAUUUGAGAGAGCCACAAUUUCCAAAACUGAAUAAACAACGGAAACGUAUGGUCAAGUGACAACACUCAACACCUGACACUUAAUUUGAGGCAACACUUAGUCGCAACUGACAAAUGGCUCUAUUGCAUCAUUUUUAAUUUGUCUACUGCCACAGUAAGGGACUGGGUGUGACUGACAAGGAUAUCAGCAGCAACUUCAAAUUUCAACAUCUUCAAAGUUCAUCUUGAGCCCUCAUGCCUUUACAUGGCUAGUUCAGGCUCCUCUCUCUAGCAAGGAGCUCCCAUUCCCAUGGGUAAUCACCAGAUGAUGGCCUUCACGAAGCAGCCAGAGCCACUGGACCCUUCUGGCCUGUUUAACACCUCCGCUCUGGAAGAGGCAUUUCAAUCAAACACCACUGGGCAGUUACAGAAGACUUGUCAGGGGCAGGCUCAUGGUGUGAGCUCCACACCUAGGUCCCAGCCUUCCCAAAGGAUCUUGGUCUGUGGUAGCCUGUGGGGUCAGGAGCAGGCUUGCAGCACAGGCCAGGACCUGCAGGCACCACGGGGCAGCCUGAGCUCUCAGUUCCCUUCUCUUAUUUUCAUUUAUUAAACAAACAACACUGCUGACCGCAACAGGCUCCAAGUAGGACUAACAAAUGGUCAUGAGACAACAAAAAGGGCAUUUCAAAGAUGAAAGGGGUAUGCUGGCGUUCCUGCAGAGGUGAACUCCUGCUGCUGCGCGCACGACUGCCCUCCUCAGCCCUGCAGCCCAUGUGGCCAGGGGCCAACCAUGGGGCUUGCACAGCUCGGGGUCUGCUCUGAGGAGGUGUUUGUGCAUACGUGGCUUUUUCAGUUGAUGGGUGAGAUUUCCUGGCUGCCUUUUACCACUUCAGUGGUGCAGAGCAGUCAUAAAGUUUAAUUGCCCAAUUAAGCAGGGUUUACAGUUGCUUUGCAUUGCUAGAGUGCCACAGCGCAGAUUGAAUAAACCAGGGAAUCAGUCCCAUAUAUUAUUAUUAUUUUUUUGAUCAGGAAAAAAACACAUGAGCUAAAGUAACUUAAAUAGAGAGGUGGGUUUAGCUUGGAGUGAAAGGUAUGGAUUCGAGCAUUGUGGGACAAGUUGAAAGCGAAGAUCCCUGAUCUCUCCUCUCCUGUUGUGGUUGCAGCACAGCCAGGAGGGAGCAAUGGGUGCACAAGCACAGUGCCUUAAGGGCUGUGGGAUGGGGAGGGAGGAGCACAGACUGAAGGUGGCUCCCAAAUGAAGAGAAACAACUUUUUAGGAGGGAGUCAUGGGAAAAGGCAACAAACAAACAAACAGAAACCAAAACCCAACCCAGCAUACAGGCAGCAAUGACACUUUUCAAAUGGAGACUUUAAGGGGGAGUGGCAUUCAGUGAAAGCCACAACAGAUCAUGGCUCAGACAGCCUCAGCCCACAGCUCUGCCUCCCACCACCUGCCUGUUCUCCAGGUCCCUGUCCCAUCUCUACACCCACUCCUCGUGGGUUCCUGCUUCUUUCCAAGCCUCCUGACUGGGGCGGUGAUGCCAAAUGCGUAAGCCCAAGUACAACGAACUCUUUAGGAUACUGGAGGCCUCUAGAGAAAAUUUGACUAGACAUAAAUAGCACAGUUACCUAAAUACUAGUAGGCACCUCAGUAAAAGUGGCUUCAUAAUUCCCAGAAAGCUGCUUCAUUACUAUCAGGCUAACAUAUAUUUAUAUUAUUUAUUUAACUUAGCAGGUUGCUGACAAUGUAAGCUAUUGGCUAGAGCAGAAUUUCUCCAGCUGCCCAUUGCAGCUACCAGAGGAUGAGCCAUGGGAAUGUUCAAAAGUCCAGAAACUCACAAAAAAUGGUCAGUUCACAAUAUCUUAUAUUGUACUGCCAGGACUUUAAGGCAUAAGCAUUCUUCUUGACACGUAGGUAGUAUCCAGGGCUUGCAGGAUUUUCAGAAAAAGACAAAUCAAAAAGAAAACUUGCAAAAAAAAAA